GAACAAGGCGGUGGCAGACGGUAUUACUCAACGCUGACCCCAGCAAUAUUUCUGGCCCCACGUGCCCCUCUUGAACCUCGCCACCACCCAUCAUAAGCAGAGACUGUGUCCCCUCCCUUCAUACCCCCGGGGGACCUUUGUGCUGCUUCAAUGAACAAACUGUGGUGGAAGUGAUGCUGCACAACAUCCAAGGCCAGGCCGUAGAGGGCAUGGAACUUCUGCCCGAUCUCUCGGGGCAUGGGCUGCGGGUGAUGGUGUUGAGCUGACAGUCAGAGGUCCAGCACCCUGAGGCUGCCACGCUGGAGAGUGCAUGUGUCAAGACCACAGGGAGAUGGAGAGAGAUGCCUGAGGAGCCUCGGCUGCUCCAGCCCACAUGCUGGGUGAGGGAUCCAGGAGCUUGCAUGAGCCCCGCCCAGAUGGCAUAUUUCACAGAAUAAAGUCACAGGCCCCUCACCUCUAGGGACUCUGAGAGGCCAAACUUUGAAAGAAAAGAAAAAUGCCUGAGGUGAGAUGAUUGAGAAAUUAAAACUGUGUGCCCGUGAUCUGAGCCUUGGAAUUCAGCUGUGGCCAUCUCCAGGAAAGGCAUCCCCACAGAGCAUCCACCCCUGGCUGGAAGAUAAUGCGGUCGCAGAAGCUCAGGCCAAGUUCACCCCACCCCACGCAUGCAGAAAUAGUGCAGAAGGUCGGCCGAGACCCUCACUAAUGGAGAGAGAAGGGCUAACACAUACAGGGACCACUCUGAGGUGUGUUCCAGACCAUGCUCAGCGGUGCCCAGCAGGAUGGAGCUCUGCUGUUUGUGGAGGCCACCUGCUCACGCACCCACUGAGCUCAUGACUCCUCCCACCCUGCCCUGCUUCACGGCCCUGCCCCUGAAGGCUGCCUCCUGGGUCCUCUCCAGAUAAGCCACAUUCACUUGCAUCCUUAACUGGACACUUCUAUCCAAAGACAGGCUGGAGCCUUUGGAAGCUGACAGCCACAGCUUGGGGAACAGUGUGACCCCAGGCUUUCCUGGCAUUCACGUUGAAUCACUUGUCUAAUGUCACACAGCAUUUAAGAGGCAGAUCCAGGAUUUGAAGCAGAUCACUGGGCCCUGGAGGCUACACUGUUCACCACCCUGCUGUGAUGCCUUCAGAAGAUAAAACAGGCACAUUCCGGGUAAAUAUGCAGGCUAACGCAUGCAUGGAAAAAAUUUCCCUGGUAUGAACAUGUACGUGAGUAGAAAAAGUUGCUUAAGACCUAUGAUGCCAGAGAAAGUGGGCAUGACUGUGACUCAAGAUGUGGAGCUGGCGUGAAAAGAGGGGCAGGAACUGCAUCCGCAGUGAGCCUCCCAUGCAUUCCUGGGGGCUCCAGCAGCAAAGCAGGAUUUUGGAAAUAAGGAAAGCUGCUUGUUCGAAAUAAUUUUCUUCUGUCAGUCCAGCCUUUAAUUAGCCAAGGUAAAAACAUUGAACUAGGAAUCCCGAGACUUAAGCUUGAGUCCUGACCCAACCUAUAAAUUCACUGUGUGACCUUGGGAGGCUUGCAUAACCUCUCUGAGCUUUCCCUUCUUUGUAAAUUGCACAAUAUUACCUUCAAAUGUAAUCAUGUGAGAAAGAAACUGCAGCUGCUUCUUGGGUUUAGAGCUGCAGCAUCUGUGUGGGUUCUCAGAAGUACCAUAGCCCUGACUACAAAUUAUCUCAUAGCCAAGAGAACAACCUCAUGGAACUCGAAAGUUGAAAUUCACUCAGUCUGGGUUUUUUAUAUUUAUUCUGGGGAACUUUUGGGGAAAUGACUACAGUCAACCACUCUUAUGCAACAAUAAAGACGCAGACAUUUUUUGAAAGAAAACUGAGUUCUAGUCAAAUUAAUGAGAUUAAUAUAAGUAAUUAAUUUAUUGGAGAAGAAUUUAUCAAUUUGGAUAGCCUUUUAUUUUCAUUUGGAAUUUGAAAUUACAUUAGUAGAGAUAAGUUGAUGGUUUUUAGUUUCAUUAUUAUGACACGUUGCAUUAAAAACAAUACUUUCCAGGUGACAUCGAUAGUUAAGAAAAAGUUAGAGGAUAAAACCUCAAAAAGAGUAAGAAAUCUAAAAGUCUAGAUCAGUGUUUUACAGAACUCAGGUUUUCAGAUGACUCCUUUGGGAUAAUCAGCUUUCUGCAGUUAUGUUAUGUAUGGGACAUUUUUGGGUGGCAAUAAAGAAAAAGAGGUAGGGGUCAGGCCUAUGGGACUGGGAGGCCCGCUACGCAACUCAGAAUGGCUGGGACUUCUCGGAGCCCAUGCUUCCAUUUAGAGGGCCCAAUAGAACCGUUUUCUUUGUGGCAGAUAAAACCAUGGCUAAGUGCAGUGGCUUACGCCUGUAACCCCCACACUUUGGGAGGCUGAGGUGAGAGGGUCAUUUGAGGUCAGCAGUUCACAACCAGCCUGGCCAAAAUGGUGAAACCCGUCUCUAUUAAAAAUACAAAAAUUAGCUGGGCAUGGUGGCAGGCACUUGUAAUCCCAGCUACUCAGGAGGCUGAGGCAGGAGAAUUGCGUGAACCUAGGAGACGGAGGUUGCAGUGAGCAGAGAUCUCACCACUGCACCCAAGCCUGGGAGACAGAGCAAGACUCUGUCAAAAAAAGAAAAAAAGAAAAAAAAAAAAACCACACAAAAACAAAAAGGACCCAGAAGCAGUCCUUCAGGUUAAAUGAUACUUCCUUGUCAUAUGAAGGCCGCAUGGGCCCAGUGCCCUGCUGGGCAAAUGGAGUUUCCCAGUAAUUCGGAAUUGGGGGAACCUACACUGUGAGCCCCAUGGCGCUCUGAAGGCUGAGACUUGGUGUUAGCCAGGAACUGUCCUUUUGUUGUUGUGUUACAUCACUGUGUUAAAUUGAACCAUUCUGGUGUUCUAGGCUUGUUUUAUCAUAUUUGUAAAUGUUUCGGUUUAGUAGUUACAGGAGAGUUAGAGCGUAUGGUAAUGUUAUCUGAUCUGACUAAAGUACUAUUUAAGGACAGCGGUGGGAAAUAUGGCCUAUGAGAGCCCAAAUGUUACAGGCUACAACUGAGACUCCAAAGAGAACCUGGCCUCUCAGACUCAGCAAAUGGAAUUCUUGGUUCAAGGGCUGGUUUGCCCAGCAUGUGUCGGUGCCCACACUUGGAGCAACCUGCCAGCACCAGGAUGGGUCCCACUGGAGGAAGCAGCAGUCGAUGCUCUAAUGCGGUGGGAAGAACAAGGAGCAAUUCUGAAAACAGAAGUGUCAAAGUUACCAUCCCUUCUCUUGGUUCCUGAGAAUCCUUGGCCAGAAGACACAAACACCUGCCUUCCUUGCUCCAGGAACCAGAGAGGUGGUGUAGACCUCAGGAAGUCUGCUCAAGGACAAGAGGCAGUCAGCGGCUUCCAGAACAGCUUCUAGAUUGUGGGGGAGUGGGGAAGGGCUGGUCUGGGAGCAGGAAGAAGCUCAGUUCUGCUGCUGGCUGGCUGUGUGCCCACAGACAAGGAAGUCUCUUUCACUGUCCAAGCCUGAGUUUCUUUAAAAUAAAAUGUAAAGUUAAAAUAAAAUGUAAGAAUGCAGUGGCACCCUAGAUGUAAACUGUGUGUGCCUCGUCACAGAGCAGGUGCAGAGCAAAUGCCAAUUCCUUCCCAGUGCCCAGCCCACCCCAGGCCCACGGGGGGCUGCCUGGCCUCUGUGCCCAGCCUGAGACUACACUGAACUCAGGGGCUGUCAUUUCCCCUCAAGGUUGCUCUGCUCGCAAAUCAUCUGAUUUCAUCAGGACAGUGAAUGGUGGAGGGAGGUUGAGGCAGCAGGGUAAGUAAGUAUCUGUGAGACGACCAACAGCUAUUCUGGACUUCGUAAAAAUGUAAAGCUCUCUGAAGGACAUAGCAUAACAGGCACAGCUUUCCUCAACUAGUUGAAGUGGUUCUUGGCUUUCCUGGUCUAAUGCAACUCACGGGACAAAUGGCUGGUGGUCCUCUAUCCUCCCUGCCCUCUGAGUCAUUCUCCAGCCUGGCUCGGGCCUGUGCACCAGGUCUUGUGCCUGCUGGGGCCUCUAAAGCCAUCCAUGUCUCCAGGUCUCUGCAACAGCAGCAGGAUUCCAGUGGCAAGCUGAUAGGAGAAAUUUAACAGGGCUUUUCCUGUCUACCUUGACUGGAUUGUUCUUAUUUUUAUUUGCAGAAACCAGAGUAAGGCAGCCCAUCCAUCAAUCAAUGCCUGCUGCUCCUUAUGCCCCCAUGGCAGGUAUCAAACUCCUGCUGCAUUCUGGGGCCUGACGAAGAGUUGCAGAUGCAUGUGGAAUGGGCUGAACUCUGAACCCAUGUGUUCAUGUAGUACCUUUGCCACGUAGAUGCAUACUCCAGCUACUGCUCUAGGUACUAAGGAUGGAUUAGUCACACAUCAGGCGAGCCUCUGCUCUUGUAGAGCUGUAAGGUGACCAGUGCAAUGAAGGAAGAUGGGGAGGUGAGGGAGGUAAGACCUGGGAAUGUGGGGGAGGGGGCAAGUACCUGCAGAAGCUGAGUGUGUGAGCUAUGAGGAGAACACCACAAGAAAGAGUAUCCAGGCAGGGGGAGAGGUGAACUCACAGUUUCUGAAGUGGCCUGUGCUUAGCAUAUUCUAGAAAAGCCAGGGAGCUAGUAGGGCCAGGAAGGAGUGUUUUGUCUUAUUUUGUUUUUCAACAAAUGAAUGAACACAUGGGAACAGUGCAUGCUGGCUAAUUACCAUGUAAACUAUUCACCUGCUCUUGCUGGUAGGAUGGUAAUGCUUCCUGAACAGAGGUGUCCAGUCAGCCUGGCUCAGCAUGCCCUGCCUACACAGGGAUGAUAAGCCAUCACACAGCUUGUGGGUCUGAGCCAUGCUGCACAGUUCCACCAGACACAGAAGUCGUGCCUCCAAGGACCUGGGCAAGGCCAAACUCCACCUGCAGGAACCACACAGCUGUUAUAGCUGAUGUCCUGGCUUCCUGUGCUGGAGGAGCUGUCUGGGUCUUCUGGAUUUUGAAGCUGGAGACAUCUGAGCUGUGGCAUUUUGCUGUAGUUACUGCACUUCUUUGAGUAUCUCAUUAAUUUCUAAAAUGGGCAUAGUAAUAACUAGUAGCAUGUAGAAUUUUGGGGAGGAAAAUCAGAACAUGUAAGUGAUACUGGCUGAAUUGUGUCCCCAAAAUUCAUUUGUUGACCUUGUCACCUCAGCACCUCAGAACUUGACCUUAGUAGGAGAAAAGUCCUUUAAAGCAGUGAGUAAGGUAAGUGAGACCCUGGGGGCUAGCUGAAACCCUAAUGCAAUAGGACUAUGUCCUUACGAGAAGAGGAGAUGAGGACGCAGACACUCACAAAGGGAGGACUGUGUGCGGAGCAGGGAGGAGAGGGGCAUCUGCAGGCCAGGGAGUGAGGCUCAGAGGAGCCGGGCCUACCCACACCUUGAUCUUGAAACUGCAACCUCCGGAGCUGUGAGAAGACACAUUUCUGCCUUUGCCCCUGCCUGUGGGGCUGCCAGAGCAGCCCAAACUGACUAAGUCAGCUGGUGAGGACCCCUGGGAAUGCUCGCCUGUGAAAUUCGGCCCACGGACUCCGGG
rnacentral:lncRNA from 1 species